GACUAAUAUGAGCGAACUGUAAUCUCCAGGCCUUAAUCUAGAUGAUGUAGACAGCAGGAUGAUGGCCACGGAAGUUGGAAUCCGGCCAGGAGUGUCUGAGAACUUACCUGCUACCGAAUCGAUCGGCUCCGGAAAUGGACGGCGCCGGAGGAGGCGACGGAUGCC
rnacentral:rRNA from 1 species